UCCUGUGAGAUUGGAUCAUGCGAAUCCUGAAGGACAGAAGCUUUAUGUUUCUAAUACAUCUUUGUCCACAUAUGGGUUCUUUCAAACCUCCAUGACAAGGUGAUGGAUCCAUGGAGAUACUCAAGUUUAAGGCUGGAGUUUUAGCACCAGAUCAAGAACUGGCUGUUUAAACCCUACUAGGAUGCCCUACCUGAACAUCAUUAAGGCAUUAUGGAAAAGAUGCUGUGAGGACUAGAUACAGAAAGAGACACGGCAGGUAAUUUUCAUUUAGAAUUUUCUUAAUUUUGUGCUAGUGAUGAUACAAGUUAUCCCUGUCUGAACAUGACUGUGUGGAGAUACGGUAACCUGAGGCAAUUAAAGUCUAGGAUAGAUGGAUAUUGACUGGAUUUCCUUAAGCAAUGUGUGUAAUGGGUCCUCUUUUUAGGGUUUGGAGAGAUGAGACUUGGCCAACAAACCAGAAGAGUGGAAGCAAAACCUGAACACACUUAAUCGACAAAGGAAAUGUGCUGGUGCUGCUGGACUGGUAGAUUUCCAGUUACUUGCUGCAC